UACAAUUUCAAAUUAUUGCUUCCCUAGUUCUGUGGAUCAGAAGAUAAGCUUGAUUAUCUAGAGUACUGAUAGAGAGAAACCCAAGAAGAAAAUUAGGUAUUAUAAAUUUGCGCUCACAGCUUUGACUGUUUUCGAUGUUCUAGCCUUUUCUUCCUAUCACUUUCUUCUUGCUGGUUCUUUAUAUCAGCAGCAAAAAACAUUCUCAUAAACAAGUAAUACUUUAAAAUAUUUUUUGUGACUUGGUCUUUGUGGCUUAAACAGCCCACAAAGCAACCAGCAUCAAUCACCAAAUAUUUUAAGGUGGUAAACACCAUGUCUUUGUGAAACUUGUGGUUGUUUACACAGUCUCCUACUGCUUUCUCAAUAGCCACCACCAGUUUGACAAGUUCAUCAGAUGGGUAGGUGUAGCCACCAUAGCACUCUUUUGUGAUAGCAAACUUAUCUUUUGGUCCAAUGUCACUCCUGGGCUUAAUUAGACUGUUAAGGCAUUCAGUACAGUCUUCUACUACUUUCUUCCGCCUGAAUGCAGUGAAGCCUGCCAUGAAGCUCAUUAAAAGCUCGUCAUAUUUCUCCCUCAUAUCCAGAAAAUAUGAGUGCUCUUUCUGUACCUCUCCUGGCAGGGCUUCGAAUGGCGUUCCUGUAAAUUAAAGUGUCAAGCCUAGAAUUUAGCAAGUUCAGGCAAACUUCUAUCUCAAGUUUCCAAAUAAUUCUCACCAAAUUCUAAAAUUUCGUCAAGGAGCUGGUCAAACUCUUGUUGCCUUUCUUGCUGUUCCCUUCCCACAUCAUCUGUGGCAUCCAUCAGGGCUUUCACAUUCUCCACCCCACUGACGUUACUCUUCUUUGCAGGUGAAAUUAGAGAGUAAACAGCAAGCAGCCGGUGGAGCUGUGCAAAAAGCUUCGGAUCUGGAUGUGGGUUGGGUGCAGCCAUUUGGCGAAUGUUACCAAAGAAAUGCUGCACAGACAUUCAAGAAUCUCGAUUAUAAUCAGGGAGGACAGAAAGAGGUAAUGGGACAGUUCCAAUGCAGACUGCAAUGACACUUCCAAGCCAAUAUCAGUGGAUUCUGACCAGAACCAUUUCUGCCCUCUGGCUUUGGUCAGCUCUCUACACUGUUUAUGUAAAAUGUUCACACCUUUUCAUGCUGGGAGCCUUUUCUAAGUCCAUCACGUGAAGAUCCUGAAUUCAUGGCUUUGGCAACUUUAUUAAUCUUUUCCAUGAAUUUUACGGUUGGCUGACAAUCUCUCAGCUCUGGAAUCUCCAAAUCAUGGUACAUCUUCAUACCAGUCACCAUAUCAUUACUGAAAAACUAUUUUCUGUCUACUGAUACCCAGUGAAUUCUUUUGACUGUUCCAUCUGGUGUCUGCAAUAGGAAGCCAAAACAGCAGGAUUAAUAGGCAAGUUAAAUUCAAAUGCACAAUUUUCCCUCCACCUCUACCACAGCCACAGGGCUCACCUG